rnacentral:rRNA from 1 species
CCUACGGGAGGCAGCAGUGGGGAAUAUUGCACAAUGGGCGCAAGCCUGAUGCAGCAACGCCGCGUGAGGGACGGCGGCCUUCGGGUUGUAAACCUCUUUUAGUAGGGAAGAAGCGAAAGUGACGGUACCUGCAGAAAAAGCACCGGCUAACUACGUGCCAGCAGCCGCGGUAAUACGUAGGGUGCAAGCGUUGUCCGGAAUUAUUGGGCGUAAAGAGCUCGUAGGCGGUUUGUCGCGUCUGCUGUGAAAUCUGGGGGCUCAACCCCCAGCCUGCAGUGGGUACGGGCAGACUAGAGUGCGGUAGGGGAGAUUGGAAUUCCUGGUGUAGCGGUGGAAUGCGCAGAUAUCAGGAGGAACACCGAUGGCGAAGGCAGAUCUCUGGGCCGUAACUGACGCUGAGGAGCGAAAGCAUGGGGAGCGAACAGGAUUAGAUACCCUGGUAGUCCAUGCCGUAAACGUUGGGAACUAGAUGUGGGGACCGAUUCCACGGUCUCCGUGUCGCNGCUACGACAUUAACGUUACCCCGUCCCGUCGGGAGGUACGGCCGGCCGACGGACGUAAACCUAACCAACGAAGUAAGUACGGUACGGCGNGAGACGCGACCGACGACCGACCGACGGAGGGAGGAG